GGGAACACGGCUGAAACAACUGUGACCGCAGAGUCAGCUCACGUGAACGCGCUAAGGCGCGGUCUCGUUAAUCAUCGGCUUCUUUCGGCAUUUUUCGCCUUCCCGGGCAGUUUGAUGGUCUAGUUAGCACAGCUGAUUAGCUUGCUGCUACCCAGCUAAUAUCCGCCACUUAUACACCGUUUUCCCAAGUAGGGCGGAUGGCACAAGUGCUGUAACAAAUGGCGGAUGUCGAGGGGCACGCAUUUUGUACACCGCUGCCUCAGCACUCAGCGUAUAACGGCACCCGGAGCGGCGAUAUCACGCCCGACGCCGGCGGCGGCUUCCAGACCCCGAGCACCACCGUGACGUCGGGCCCACGGCUCAUCCGAAUAGUCAAGUCAGACUCGGGCUACGGUUUCAACGUCCGGGGCCAAGUUAGUGAAGGAGGGCAGCUCCGGAGCAUUAACGGGGAACUGUACGCCCCGCUGCAGCACGUCAGCGCUGUCCUGCCGGGAGGUGCCGCCGACAUAGCCGGUAUUUCGAAAGGAGACAGGAUUCUUGAGGUGAACAGGGUGAAUGUUGAAGGCGCGACACACAAACAGGUGGUGGACCUGAUCCGGGCUGGAGAGCGGGAACUGGUAUUGACCGUGCUCUCAGUCCCGCCUCUGGAAGCCGAUUGUCUGGAUGUCGGAGACGAUGGCUCGGCCCAGUACUGUUACGACUAUUCCGACAAGCAGGCCGUCCCCAUCUCUGUGCCCAGCUACAAACACACUGAGCUCCAUCAGGAAAAGUUUGUGGUAUAUAAUGUCUUCAUGGCGGGAAGGCAGCUCUGCUCUAAACGCUACAGAGAGUUUGUGAUUCUACACCAAAACCUGAAGAGGGAGUUUGCCAACUUCACAUUCCCCAAGCUGCCCGGGAAAUGGCCUUUUUCUCUGUCGGAGCAGCAGCUGGAUGCGCGACGUAGAGGCCUGGAAGAAUAUCUGGAGAGAGUGUGCUCUGUGAGGGUCAUUGGCGAAAGUGACAUCAUGCAGGAGUUCCUGUCAGAAUCAGAUGAAAACUACAACGGCCUGUGGGAUGUGGACUUGAGAAUAGCCGUUCCCGAUAAGACCUCACUUACUGUGCGGGUUCGCAAAAAUUCCACCACUGACCAAGUGUACCAGGCUUUGGUCAUGAAACUCGGGAUUGAUAGCAUAACGGCCAGCUACUUUGCACUCUUUGAGGUCAUCAACCACACCUUCUUACGAAAGCUUGCACCCAACGAGUUCCCCCACAAGUUGUACGUGCAAAACUACACUUCAGCCAUCCCUAGAACCUGCCUCACAAUGCGCAAGUGGCUCUUCACUACCGAAGAGGAGACGUUACUCAAUGACAACCAACUUGCUGUCUCCUACUUCUUCCACCAGGCCUUGGAGGAUGUCAAGAAAGGUUUUAUCAAAGUAGAGCAGAAGUCCUACCAGUUGCAGAUGGUUGCAGAGCAGAAAAAUAUGUCCAUGUAUCUAAGUUUGCUGAGAGGCUGUGAUGGCUACAAUGAAAUCUUGUUCCCUCACUGUUCGUGCGACUCCAGACGUAAAGGACACGUCAUCGCAGCCAUCAGUAUUCAGCACUUCAAGCUGCACGCCUGCACAGAGGAGGGGACAAUCGAGAACCAGGUGAUUGCCUUUGAGUGGGGGGAAAUGCUGAGGUGGGACACAGACGAAGAGGGCAUGGCCUUUUGCUUCGAGUAUGCGCGGGGGGAGAAGAAACCACGUUGGGUCAAGAUAUUCACACCUUAUUUUAACUACAUGCAUGAAUGCUUCGAGAGAGUUUUCUGCGAGCUAAAGUGGAGAAAGGAGGUGGAGGAGGAGGCCACGGACAAAGACAACAAGAACGUCUCCCACGACGGUAUGUGUGGCAAGAAUAUUUUCCAGCUGCUGAGGCAUCGAAAGAAUGGAGGCACCAAGCAAGAGAAAUCGCUAUCGCUUGACGACGCGGCAGAAUCCUCCGGUCUGCCCAGCCCGGCCCUCUUCUGAAUGCAGAGACGCUUGCUCGGCUGUUGAGGACAUAGUCAGCAUUUACGCUUCCAUCCAGCAGAUCCACAUUUCCUAUUCAUAAGACCCAGCAAAACAUCUGCAAAACAAGAAAACAUGUAGAUAACUUUUGAAAUCCAGCACAUUAAUCAGGCAUUGGGCGCCUCAAGAACGACUUCACUAAAGUGCGGACAACUUAAGGCAGUUUUGCCAAAAGCAAAAAUCCAAGUCGCUUAGAAUUCAAGGAACCACCGUGCAUGCACGUCUCGGAUGGGUUAACGCUUUAUCCACAAGGAUGACAGGAUGACAUCAACUGAGGUUAUAGAACGUGAGCCCCUGUCAAAAUAGUAGGUUCUUCUGACACCAUGAUAAACUCUCUCAAAAGAUCUUUUCUGACAUUGAACUGAUCUGAAAUCUGUGAGACCGUAACAAUUGUUGAAGCACCGUUUGAUUUCAUGAGAGUAUUCAGCAGUAUUUCGGUCGUAGUCUCUCAGCAAGUGCUCCAAAUGUGUCAGAUUGCGAGGGCGCAGCCCAUUUCCUGCUUUUCAAUUGGAUUUAGGUCAAAUUUUUCUUGAUCACUUUCUCUCUUGACGGUAGAAUGCAGUUUGCACUGUCGUUUACUUGAAAUUGUGAGUGACUGGUUAAUAAGCCACUGCAUGUUCCACAUUUACCCACCAUUGACCCUCAUAUGUUUAUAGGAUUGUAUAAACAAGCCUACUGGCUUACUCUCUGUGGGGCAUUCGCCUGAGAAAAAGUGACAGUUGUUUCCUCUGAGCUGUGUGCAUGACCCAGACAGAAGAGCGUGGGCCCUUCUCCAUCUGCUGGCUCCCCCACCGGCAGUGAUUACCUUGUCCACACGAUUGAUAAUCGGACUUAAUUCAAACAAUUUUACCACUGCAGAUGCGUCCUCGCUUCGUGGGUAAAUGUCUCACACUCCCUCGAUUCAGACAUUGUUUGACAAAUAUUUACAACAGCACAAAAGAAAUUCAUGCUAAUUAAAUGUAAAGACACACGCACUUUCGACAAGGCUGAACACGCUGUAGUUGCAGUCUAAUGUGAUGAAAUGUCUAAUUUAAUAUCCUGUUACUGUUUCCCGCAGUAAUCUAAUUCAAACGGCACCAAAAUGAUGUAUGGCAAAUGAGGAAUGUAAUACGAGAUUGUAAUUACAGUUUAGCACAUUAUUCAAACAAAAUAUGCAACAUUAACAUCUGUGAAACAGGGAUACAUAGAGAUAUUUGUUAUUAUUUGUAUCUCGAGUCAUGUACGAGGGAAAAGUCGUUGUUGUAAUCAAAACCGAACCCUCAUGUUUUCUUUAAUCUGUGUCGUGAAUGAUGAGGUCAUCAAAACAAAGUCACGCACUUAAAGUUUCAAAAUUCUGCCUUAUCAUGAUAGUAAUGCUUUGCCUGGGAGGGUUAAUUAUUUCAAGUUUUGAUGUACCAAUAUGUACUUGUACUUUGAUGGCAUUGUCAGACCAGCGUUUCUCCACAUCCGCACUUAAAUUGCUUCUUACUUUAAGAAUGCAAAAAUGUUCAUUAAAACAUAGCCUGGAGACUUAAUUAACAUUUUAUAAUGCCACCUGUUUAAGCCUGCAACAAAUUAAUUCACUAUGCAUUAUUCGCCGUGGGGGUUGCGGGAGGGGGGAUUUCUUUAAAAAUGAGAGUACCUCAGAAUUCUGCCAUUGUCACAGAAGUGAAUGUGCUGAACCUUUUAGUUUUCACUAACUAUAAGCCAAUCUUUUUAAAGUUCCUGUGGAGUGGAAAUAAGUUUUGCAAAUUUGCCGCACCACAGAGAGGGAUGAGCAACCCUGCCACAUUUGAAGGAUUAAAAAAAACAAUUGCCACGUAUACAUAGUUCAUCAUGACUUCUCUCUGUGACGUGACACAUUCACAGCAGGCAAUGUGGCGCUCUAAAGCGGUUAUGCCAGCCAGCCCGAAGCCCCUGGCUGUCAAAACGGAUUUGUUAAAAUAUUAUUUUUCGCCCUUCCGCCGAUCUCUGGGGAGUGCGCUUGCACUCACAGCUGACAACGAGGUGUUCUAAAGUGGCUACGCCAUAGGACUAUCCAAAGGGAAGAUGCGUUAUUUGAGUGCUGGCAUAAGUCGCUAACGAACUGCAGGUCACAACUGCACUUAACUGCUUAAGACGGGGGUCAACAAAAUGUUGUUUUAACAUGGCUUCUGGGGGAGGACAAACAUAACACAAACAUUCUUAACAUUUUCCAGUGCUGUAAAAAUGUGUAGAAUAAAUAUUAAAUUUCAACAUUUCUGUCAACUAAGAUUUAACUAAGUUAUUUUAGCGACUGCUAAAAAAACAGGAACGCUGAAAUUGUGAACAUCUGUUUCAUGCUAUUGCUCAAUUGAAUACUGCAUAGUUCAGUUUGCACAUUUUCAACAAUUAUCUUUGUGUGAUGUACUUCUAAACCAACCUCUGAAUUCACUCCAGAAGGUCUUAAAUAGCUGCCCUCAUUAACAAAUGGAAUUGCAAUAGUCUUUUUUUGAAAGUGUUAUACUCUCUCUCUCUCAAACUGUUUCCCACCACUAUCAUUUUUGCAGAAGUUAGUUUAUUAGCACAGUUUUUUUAAACUGCUGCGCCUCACACACUUUAAAAAGAAACAAAAAACACUGCUCUCGGUGAUAGCAAGGUUAAUGCAAUCUUGGAAGAUGUUACUUUACUUUAAAAGUGAUUAAUUGAACAUCAACAGAGUUGUGUGAAGGUACCGGUAAUUGAAUGUGAUGAGCUUCAAAUUGAUCGCUUUGACUUUGCCGGAGCCAUUUUUGCGGGAUUCUUUGUUUAAUGGGCCGUGUCUGAUGUUCUCGAUUAUUCGUGCACUUCUUUUUCACUCGCUCAGUCCCGCUUGAGACUAUUUUGUCGCCUUGAUUAUUUAUUGACUAAUGAUAUCAACUUCUGCAUCGAUGUGAAGUGGAAAUAAGCCUAUUCCCUCAGAAAAAAAAUGACUGGCAACCUGCAGAUUGUUGGCUUAUUGUAAGAAAUUGUAAAGUAUUCUUUUAAAUAAAACCGUUUUAUUGAA